CUGACUCGAUGGACAUGAGUUUGAGUGAACUCGGGGAGUUGGUGAUGGACAAGGAGGCCUGGGGUGCUGCAAUUCAUGGGGUCUCGAAGAGUCGGACACGACUGAGCGACUGAACUGAACUGCUGUAGACUAGGGCGUGGCUGGCCGACGUUGCCAAGGAGACGUGGAGCGUUGCCACUCAGGGCGGAGCGAUGUAAGGCCUUGAGGCGACGUGGGGCUGGCAGACGCGUUAGGGGAACCGGUGAAGCGGCUCUGGGCCAAGUGCUGGGCAUGCUGGGAGUCGCCGGGAGACUGUGGGCAGGGCGAAAGGGCGCGGCGGUGUCUCGGGACGAGUAGACCGGCCCUUAGGCGGCCGAGCGGAAGCGUGUGCGGGGAGGGGCGGGACUGCGAGUGAGCGGGGGUGUGUGGACACUUGUUAGCGGAGUGGGUCGGGCCGGGACUGAUAGGGGACCGUGCACCAUAGGCUGGGCGGGGCGCCCGUGGGUGGGGCCAGAUAUCAGGGUGCGGAGCGGCGGGCCACGACGCAACCUGAGGAGCGGGGCGGGACUUCAGGAUGUGCUGGUUGCGAGCGAGCUACGAAGCCGCCGCUCUUCCAACGAGUGCCGCGUUGGCUGGGCUUUGCUGCUGGGGAAGCGCGCAAAACACCCGGAGGAGGAGACUGCAGAGCAAGGAAUACUUUAUGCACGCGCACGGAGCUAACAGAGAUGGGGGCGUUGCAACUCCUUGCUACAGAACUUCAAAUGUGGAGCAGGGAAGUAAGGUCCGUCCUCACUCGGUGGUUUAAAUGAAAAACCAGCGUCCUGGAGCAGAGCUCCCGCUGCUGGCACAACUAGGAAGGAUCAAGUUCCUUCCUCUCUAUGCUACUAAUUCGUUUGCUCACUUCCGUGACACCUGCUCGACAGUCCAUGUGGAGGAGAAAAACAGCUUCCAAACUGCUGCAGAAAGGAGGCAUCCUCACCCCAGACCCCUCUUCAAGAUCACCCCUGGUAAUUCCGCUCUAGGCACUCUCUUCCCACUCCUUUGCUCCCGCUCAGCACAGACCUCCUGGCACUGCUUGGUUUUCUCCCCCACUAUGAGCAGCAUCAAAAUGUCUCCCUGAAAAACAAAGAUGAAAACUCAAACAUAUCUGAUAAAUAUCUUGGCAAAAGAGCUUUAACAAAAAUGAUUUCACAUGGGACACUGGAAGUACAUCACCUAUUAGGAUAAACUAAGCUUUGGGAUAUAACACUGGUAUUUGCCCUGUGACUUGUGAGAAAAAGCUCUUUUUAGCAGAUUAGUGGCUCUCUUCUAAAGAGCCUCUUGAUGAAAGUGAAAGAGAAGAGUGAAAAAGUUGG